CCUUUCCAAGCAUAAAGAAUGAGGAAGGCUGGGGCCAAAACAUUGGAGAGCUUAGGAAACAUUGUCAGCCUGGCUUUGAGCAUUGAGAAGGUGCAAAGUACCUCCUGUGUGUGUGUGUGUUCAUGUCUUUGACAGAAAUGGGAAUAGGAAAAUGAGAUCAAGAUGCUUUUGGUACGUUACUGGAAACAGAAUAAUAAAGAAAAGAGCAACCUCCAAACAGUACAGGGUCAGAUCCUGCAGAGUCCAGGUGCCCACACUGUGGUUUCCCCCUGGAGGUGCUGGGACAGGACCCCACCCUGGCACUGCUCUGGCUGGAGGAGGAGGAGGCACCAGCCCCAGUUUCCCCUCUGCUCUUGCAGAAUUCCUUUU